GACAGCGCGGUGUAGUGGUUUGAGCACUAGAUUAUGGCUCUGGAGAACAGAGUUCAAGUCCCUGCUCAGUCA